AGAGCGAACGCUGGCGGCAUGCUUAACACAUGCAAGCCGCACGGUUAGGGGCAACCCUGGCAGUGGCGGACGGGUGAGUAACGCGUAGGUAUCUAUCCAUGGGUGGGGGAUAACGCUGGGAAACUGGUGCUAAUACCGCAUGACACCUGAGGGUCAAAGGCGCGAGUCGCCUGUGGAGGAGCCUGCGUCCGAUUAGCUAGUUGGUGGGGUAAUGGCCUACCAAGGCGACGAUCGAUAGCUGGUCUGAGAGGAUGAUCAGCCACAUUGGGACUGAGACACGGCCCAAACUCCUACGGGAGGCAGCAGUGGGGAAUAUUGGACAAUGGGCGAAAGCCUGAUCCAGCAAUGCCGCGUGUGUGAAGAAGGUUUUCGGAUUGUAAAGCACUUUCGGCGGGGACGAUGAUGACGGUACCCGCAGAAGAAGCCCCGGCUAACUUCGUGCCAGCAGCCGCGGUAAUACGAAGGGGGCUAGCGUUGCUCGGAAUGACUGGGCGUAAAGGGCGCGUAGGCGGUUUGUUUAGUCAGGCGUGAAAUUCCUGGGCUUAACCUGGGGGCUGCGCUUGAUACAGGCAGACUUGAGUGUGGAAGAGGGUCGUGGAAUUCCCAGUGUAGAGGUGAAAUUCGUAGAUAUUGGGAAGAACACCGGUGGCGAAGGCGGCGACCUGGUCCAUUACUGACGCUGAGGCGCGAAAGCGCGGGGAGCAAACAGGAUUAGAUACCCUGGUAGUCCACGCUGUAAACGAUGAUCGCUUGGUGUGACAGGUACCCAAUCCUGUUGUGCCGAAGCUAACGCGUUAAGCGAUCCGCCUGGGGAGUACGGUCGCAAGGCUGAA
rnacentral:rRNA from 1 species